rnacentral:piRNA from 1 species
UUCCAUGUCAGACAGGAUGUUUCUAAUGGGU